rnacentral:lncRNA from 1 species
UAAAAGUUUCAGUUCCACGCCUAUAUGGAGGAUUCGACUUUAGAAAAUAUUUGGGUUCAAUAGAAACUGAAAUAAUUAAAAAUGCUAUAAAAAAGAAUUAAAAACUAAUGUAUGUAUCCUGUGAGAAUAGUAUUCGAGACAAAAUACUAGCUAGCUAGCUAGUUAAAAUACCAUAAGCAGCUAUUGGACAGCUAUACAAGCUUAGGCAUGGUAGUGUGUUGCCCCCUGUUCCAUUCAUCAAUUUGUUGCCUGUUGACAUGGACAGCGACGCGCAGCUACGCUUCUUCUCGGACAGCGGGGUGGGCGGUCACAUCCUGCUACUACACAUGAAUAACUUUAGUGUCAAUAAUGAUAGCGCCGAGAUAAAGGUUUAUUUUAUGAAUUUAAACUAAAAAUAGCAUAGUUAUGAAUAACUUUCGCAAAAGGUCUAAAAAGUAAAAAAGACGGGGGUUGGAGGGGCCAUCAGAGAUAGGCUUCGUUGGUAUGCCUCAGUCUACAGUCGCCAUGGACCACAGCUUCUCUCGUCGCUCAGUGCACUAGGGAGAUCGGUUCCCAAGUAUUGUGGCGGCUAGGGUUUUCUUGAGGCUGGAGGCUUUGUGCUUCCAAGCUGCUAGAGAAAAUACCUUCAUUAGCUAGCAUGAGCCCCACGGCGGUGCCACCAUGGCCGUCGACAUCGAGUCUUCCUCGCCAGAGUCCAACAGAAUAGAGGGAGAGAGGGAGAAGAGAACAGAGUGGUGCGAUCGUGUGAAGUGAUUAGGGUAUCUA